UACGUAGGGGGGCUAGCGUUGUCCGGAAUCAUUGGGCGUAAAGCGCGUGUAGGCGGCUAUCUACGUCCGGGGUGAAAGCCCAGAGCUCAACUCUGGGACUGCCUUGGAUACGGGAUCGCUUGAGGAUCGGAGAGGCAAGGGGAAUUCCACGUGUAGCGGUGAAAUGCGUAGAGAUGUGGAGGAACACCAGUGGCGAAGGCGGCUUUCUGGUCUGUAACUGACGCUGAGGCGCGAAAGCGUGGGGAGCAAACAGG
rnacentral:rRNA from 1 species